rnacentral:rRNA from 1 species
AAUUGCAGAAUCCCGUGAACCAUCGAGUCUUUGAACGCAAGUUGCGCCCGAAUCCAUCUGGUUGAGGGCACGUCUGCCUGGGUGUCACGUACACGCGCCUCCCGCCAACCUUCCCCUUUAUGCGGACGAAGGGUCUCGCGGGAGCAGAUGUUGGUAUCCCGUGCCU